AGUGAACGCUGGCGGCAGGCCUAACACAUGCAAGUCGAGCGGCAGCGCGGGGGCAACCCUGGCGGCGAGCGGCGGACGGGUGAGGAAUUCGUCGGAAUCUGCCUUUUUGUGGGGGAUAACGUAGGGAAACUUACGCUAAUACCGCAUACGUCCUACGGGAGAAAGUGGGGGACCGCAAGGCCUCACGCAGAAAGAUGAGCCGACGACCGAUUAGCUAGUUGGUGGGGUAAAGGCCCACCAAGGCGACGAUCGGUAGCUGGUCUGAGAGGAUGAUCAGCCACACUGGGACUGAGACACGGCCCAGACUCCUACGGGAGGCAGCAGUGGGGAAUAUUGGACAAGGGGCGCAAGCCUGAUCCAGCCAUGCCGCGUGUGUGAAGAAGGCCUUCGGGUUGUAAAGCACUUUUGUCCGGAAAGAAAUCCCUGGAGCUAAUACCUUCGGGGGAUGACGGUACCGGAAGAAUAAGCACCGGCUAACUUCGU
rnacentral:rRNA from 1 species